AAAAUAUCAGCAAAAGAGGGGUUUUUGAAGCUUUGAAAUUUCAGCAACUUAUUACCUCAACAAGUAAGUGAUUCCCAUGUCCUUAGUUAAUAAUUUUUGCACUUUUGAGACCCUUGAAGCAUAAGCUUUCAAAUGAGGGGUCUAUUUUGCAAAAUGAUUGAGAGUUUAGGGUUUUUCCAUGAAAGGAUUUGUGAUAUUUGCUAAGUUUUUAUGGAAGAAUAUGAGUCCUAGUUGUGACAUAAACAACUUUUGUGAAAGGUAUUAGCAUGAAAACACCUAAAGGGACUAUUUUGUGUAAGUUGCAAAAUAGGUGAUAUGAGUGUGAAAUAGUGAGAUUUUGGGAUUGCUACAGCAGUAAAAAGAGUUUAAAUAGGCUUGAAAUACAAAUUAAUUUAUAUAAAAAUUGAUUUUCCAGCAUAGGGGUAAAAUGGUCAUUUUGCCAAAGUUUAGGGGCAAAAUGGUCAUUUUUCCAAAGAUGUGAAUUUAUGAUUGCCUAAUUGUAAUUAGUGGUUAAAUGAGUGCAUUUUGUUAUUAUAGAUCAAGACUUGUCAAAACCGAACCUAGACCAGGGCAAAGCCAAGCAAUCCAAGAAAACAGACUAGUCAAGUAUAUUUUGUAGAUUGAGGUAAGUUGUAUGUAAAUAAUACGACUACAUUGUUAAUGUAUGUAAUCGAAUUGUCAUUGAAUUGAUAUAGUAUGAAUUGCUAGAUUGUGAACUGAGAUUGUAUAUUAAUGAUUGAGAUAGUGGAAUGGUCUAGUUGAGACCCUAGGAAACAAACCGGAUAUUUAUGCCAUAACGUUCAGAUUUCUUGUGUGCCAGUGUAAGACAUGCCUGGGUCAUGCAUCAGCCACAUUAUGAGUGCCAGUAUAAGACCAUGUCUAGGACAUGGCAUCGGCAUAGAGACGAGUGCCAGUGUAAGACAUGUCUGGGACAUGCAUCGGCCUCGUUAUGAUAGCCAGUGUAAGACGUGUCUGGAACACGCAUCGGCUAAGAGUUGUGCUAGUGUAAGACAUGUCUGGGACAUGCAUCAGCACGUAUAUACAAGAGCUAGUAUAAGACCAUGCCUGGGACAUGGCAUCGGCCUCGAUGAUGAUAGCCAGUGUAAGACCAUGUCUGGGACAUGGCAUCGGUAACUUAUCCCAUGUUCGAGGCUUAUAGAAUAUCCGGUAGUUUUCCGAAAGGUUCAACUUUAAAGGUUAUGAAAAUGACUUAAUAAGGAAAGUAUAAAAAUGUUUUGAGUGAUACAGGUACCUAUUUGGUAUGCAUGAGUAAUGAGUUCAAAUUAGAAAAUGUGAUUUGAGUAGACGGUAAUGAGUAAGUCAAUUUUAUGCUUACCUUUGAGCUAUGAGUAUGAUGACUAAUGGUAAAAUUGUUGUUGUAUAUUUAUUUAUAUGCAACUUACUAAGCUUUAUGCUUACUCUCUUUUCUUUCCCCUUUUCUUUCAUUGCCGCUUAAUUAGCUUAAGGAUUCUUUGAAGUCAGAGAUAUCGAUCACACUAUCAAUCGGAGCACUUGGUAUAGUAAAAAUCUUCUUUUAAGUAUGGCA
rnacentral:lncRNA from 1 species